GCACGCGAACUAGCGUAUGAAAUAUCAAACCGUCAUUCUGCUCUGACUACGGAUCAGAAGGUUGGGGGUUCGAAUCCCUUCGCGCGCACCA
rnacentral:tRNA from 1 species